AGUCAGAACGGUCCUGGUUUGGAACCAGCACCCUCAACUCCUACAGAAUCAUUUUGAAAACAGAAAAUCUGAAAUACAGAGGGGUGAGUUAAACAUGGUAUCUUCCUAACUUCUGUGAGUCCACACUGCCAGAGGAAGGUCAGUAAUAAGUCUACCUACAAGCCCAAACAGCCCUGCUGCAUUCAACAGCAAGGAACACAAGUCAUUCCACUGCUUGAUGCUGCUUACAAGAUGGUAGCAUAAAGCUUGAACACAAGCCACCCAGACUUCUGAACAUGACCAGUAGCAACAGCUCCAAAAGCAGAUCACUUAUACUGGAAC